rnacentral:rRNA from 1 species
GUGCCAGCCGCCGCGGUAAUACGGAGGGUGCAAGCGUUAUCCGGAUUCACUGGGUUUAAAGGGUGCGUAGGCGGGUGUGUAAGUCCGUGGUGAAAUCUCCGAGCUUAACUCGGAAACUGCCAUGGGUACUGCAUGUCUUGAAUGUUGUGGAGGUGAGCGGAAUAUGUCAUGUAGCGGUGAAAUGCUUAGAUAUGACAUAGAACACCAAUUGCGAAGGCAGCUCACUACACAAAUAUUGACGCUGAGGCACGAAAGCGUGGGGAUCAAACAGGAUUAGAUACCCCUGUAGUCC